rnacentral:rRNA from 1 species
UACGGAAGGCAGCAGUGGGGAAUAUUGCACAAUGGGCGCAAGCCUGAUGCAGCCAUGCCGCGUGUAUGAAGAAGGCCUUCGGGUUGUAAAGUACUUUCAGUCGUGAGGAAGGUGUUAAGGUUAAUAACCUUAGCAAUUGACGUUAGCGACAGAAGAAGCACCGGCUAACUCCGUGCCAGCAGCCGCGGUAAUACGGAGGGUGCGAGCGUUAAUCGGAAUUACUGGGCGUAAAGGGCACGCAGGCGGUUAAUUAAGUUGGAUGUGAAAUCCCCGGGGCUUAACCUGGGAAUGGCAUUCAAGACUGGUUAGCUAGAGUCUUGUAGAGGGGGUUAGAAUUCCAUGUGUAGCGGUGAAAUGCGUAGAGAUGUGGAGGAAUACCGGUGGCGAAGGCGGCCCCUGGACAAAGACUGACGCUCAUGUGCGAAAGCGUGGGGAGCAAACAGGGAUUAGAUACC